UACGGAGGGGGCAAGCGUUGUUCGGAUUUACUGGGCGUAAAGGGUGUGUAGGCGGUUGCGCAAGUCUGGUGUGAAAUCUUCACCGCUUAACGGGAAGAGGUCACUGGAAACUGCGUAACUCGAGUGUGGUAGAGGCAAGCGGAAUUCCUGGUGUAGCGGUGGAAUGUGUAGAUAUCAGGAAGAACACCUGUGGCGAAGGCGGCUUGCUGGGCCAUCACUGACGCUGAGACACGAAAGCGUGGGGAGCAAACGGG
rnacentral:rRNA from 1 species